rnacentral:rRNA from 1 species
CCAGGCCCUACGGGGUGCAGCAGGCGCGAAACCUCCGCAAUGUGAGAAAUCGCGACGGGGGGAUCCCAAGUGCCAUUCUUAACGGGAUGGCUUUUCAUUAGUGUAAAGAGCUUUUGGAAUAAGAGCUGGGCAAGAUCGGUGCCAGCCGCCGCGGUAACACCGGCAGCUCUAGUGGUAGCAGUUUUUAUUGGGCCUAAAGCGUCCGUAGCCGGUUUAAUAAGUCUCUGGUGAAAUCCUGCAGCUUAACUGAGGGAAUUGCUGGAGAUACUAUUAGACUUGAGAUCGGGAGAGGUUAGAGGUACUCCCAAGGUAGAGGUGAAAUUCUGUAAUCCUGGGAGGACCGCCUGUUGCGAAGGCGUCUGACUGGAACGAUUCUGACGGUGAGGGACGAAAGCUAGGGGCGCGAACCGGAUUAGAUACCCGGGUAGUCCUAGCUGUAAACGGUGCGGACUUGGUGUUGGGGUGGCUUUGAGCUGUCCCAGUGCCGAAGGGGAGCUGUUAAGUCCGCCGCCUGGGAAGUACGGUCGAAAGACUGAAACUUAAAGGAAUUGGCGGGGGAGCACCACAACGCGUGGAGCCUGCGGUUUAAUUGGAGUCAACGCCGG